rnacentral:misc_RNA from 1 species
UCCCGGUUAACCCGGGCAGUCUCACUAGAGUGCUCAACUUAAUGGUAGCAACUAAUGAUAAGGGUUGCGCUCGUUGCAGGACUUAACCUAACAUCUCACGACACGAGCUGACGACAACCAUGCACCACCUGUCUCCCUGCCCCGAAGGGCUUCCUCCAUUACGAGUAAUUCAGGGGAUGUCAAGUCCAGGUAAGGUUCUUCGCGUUGCUUCGAAUUAAACCACAUGCUCCGCUGCUUGUGCGGGCCCCCGUCAAUUCCUUUGAGUUUUAAUCUUGCGAUCGUACUUCCCAGGCGGAGUACUUAUUGUGUUAACUGCGGCACAGAAGGUUGGACCCCCCUACACCUAGUACUCAUCGUUUACGGCGUGGACUAC